rnacentral:rRNA from 1 species
CCCGCACAAGCGGUGGAGUAUGUGGUUUAACUCGAUGCAACGCGAAGAACCUUACCUGGCCUUGACAUCCCGGGAAUUUCCUGGAAACAGGAGAGUGCUUUCAUUAGAGAGAACCUGGAGACAGGUGCUGCAUGGCUGUCGUCAGCUCGUGUCGUGAGAUGUUGGGUUAAGUCCCGCAACGAGCGCAACCCUUGCCUUUAGUUGCCAGCAGUUCGGCUGGGCACUCUAAAGGGACUGCCGGUGUCAAACCGGAGGAAGGUGGGGAUGACGUCAAGUCCUCAUGGCCUUUAUGGCCAGGGCUACACACGUACUACAAUGGCCGGUACAAAGGGCAGCGACAUUGCGAGAUGGAGCGAAUCCCGAAAAGCCGGUCUCAGUCCGGAUUGGAGUCUGCAACUCGACUCCAUGAAGUUGGAAUCGCUAGUAAUCGUGGAUCAGCAUGCCACGGUGAAUACGUUCCCGGGCCUU